UACGGAGGGAGCUAGCGUUGUUCGGAAUUACUGGGCGUAAAGCGCACGUAGGCGGCUUUGUAAGUUAGAGGUGAAAGCCCGGGGCUCAACCCCGGAAUUGCCUUUAAGACUGCAUCGCUUGAAUCCAGGAGAGGUGAGUGGAAUUCCGAGUGUAGAGGUGAAAUGCGCAGAUAUCGGGAAGAACACCCGUGGCGAAGGCGGCUCUCUGGGACGGUACUGACGCUGAGACGCGAAAGCGUGGGGAGCGAACAGG
rnacentral:rRNA from 1 species